rnacentral:lncRNA from 1 species
CCGGACCCCAGCAUCCCCCCCCGCCGCAAUCAGUCAAUCGAGGCACCUGAGCCUGCGUGCGGGUCGGGACUGGGACUGGGGGCGGAGCACGCGACCCGGGCAGCCGGCAAGUACUCUGCCCCACGCGGUGGGAGGAGGCCUCGCUCAUCCCAGACGCCACACUCACCUGGGAGGUGCCACACUCACCCGGGAGGCCACACUGGCUCCGGAAGCCACACUCACCUGGGAGACCACACUCACCUGGGAGGUGCCACACUCACCCGGGAUGUCACACUCACCUGGGAGAUGACACAUUCUUCCAGGAUGCCACACUCACCCGGGGGAUGACACACUCACUCACCCAGGACGUCACACUCGCUCAGGAGGCCACACUCACCUGGGAAACCACACUCACCUGGGAGAAGCCACACUCACCCAGAAGGCCACACUCACCCACACCCUCGGCCGACUCUGGUUACAAGUGCACCUGCCCAGUUGUGCUGGGCACACCUGUUGGGCUCCGCAGACGCAAGCACCGCGGGGACCACAGGCGACUCCCCGUGAGGACGCUCCCGCAUUCAUUUAAUGCACGUGCGAUUGUCCUUCCACGUGUGUUAGAACUUGAAGGAAUGAAAGGGAGGCUAAUCCCAGUUCCUGGUGUUCAUCUUGAAGACAAGCAUGAACAGUGUUGAAGGUAACAUCCCUGGAGCCUUCCCUGGACUUAAACACAGUGGGAGGCUAAGCUUGCUAAUGCAGGUGUGUAGCCUGGGAAACUGGCAGCUCCUUGCACUGACACUCUGGCCAUAAGGCCAGUCCCGAUGAGAAGACACCAUGAAACAUGGUAUAGAUACCGAGUUCCCAAAUGUAUCCUACCUGAUGUUGGCCAAGUCUGGGAAUUGUGCUAUAAACUCUGAUCUCUAUCCACCCCCAUCUCUAGAGCACUAGAAGGGACUACUUCUCCAAUGCUGCCCAUACCUACAGGACUACUUUGGCCACUUUCUAAAUGCUGCCUUGUGAACUCAAGGGUAGCCAUGUGAGUAGCAAAAUGCCUGUCCAAAAUAAGCAGUCCUUGCAAUCAGUGCACAUCUUAAGAAAUGAAGCUUAGGGCAGCCCCGGUGGCUCAGUGGUUUAGCGCUGCCUUCAGUCCAGGGUGUGGUCCUGGAGACCCGGGGUCAAGUCCCACGUCGGGCUCCCUGCAUGGAGCCUGCUUCUCCCUCUGCCUCUCUCUCUCUCUCUCUCUCUCUCUGUGUGUGUGUGUGUGUGUGUCUCACGUGAAUAAAUAUAUAAAAUCUUAAAAAAAAAUGAAGCUU